UAUGGGCAGAAAUAAAAAAUUACAUUUUAACCUUGACUGUCACUAGAUGGCUGGAGAACAAUGAGGUAGUUUUUCCCUGCAGUUAGGACAUUUAGAAAGCCCUGGGCACAAGAUAAACUGUAGCUGGAAAGGGCAACCAAUCUGAACUGGACUCUGCCUUAACCUUGCGUACUCUGCACUUUAUGUCUUUAAAAACCAGGCACCCCAAGACCGAGGAGCACAGAUGUGAGCUCAGGGAA